rnacentral:rRNA from 1 species
AGCAAACGCUGGCGGCGUGCCUAAUACAUGCAAGUCGAACGGGGAAAGUAGCAAUACGAGUACUAGUGGCGCACGGGUGAGGAACACGUGGGUAAUCUGCCUUCGAGCGGGGGAUAACUAAUCGAAAGAUUGGCUAAUACCGCAUAAGACCACAAGAUCUGCGGAUCUAGGGGUCAAAGCCGCAAGGCACUUGAAGAUGAGCCCGCGUAAGAUUAGCUAGUUGGUGAGGUAACGGCUCACCAAGGCGAUGAUCUUUAGCUGGUCUGGGAGGAUGAUCAGCCACACUGGAACUGAGACACAGUCCAGACUCCUACGGGAGGCAGCAGUAGGGAAUAUUGCGCAAUGGGGGCAACCCUGACGCAGCGACGCCGCGUGAGUGAUGAAGGCCUUCGGGUCGUAAAGCUCUGUUAUAUGGGAAUAAGAUCUGAAUGUACCAUGUGAGAAAGGACCGGCUAACUUCGUGCCAGCCGCCGCGGUAA